UAACUUUGAUGAAUUCUUAAU
rnacentral:miRNA from 1 species